rnacentral:lncRNA from 1 species
CAGGUCCCUGCCAUACCUUCCAGCAGUGGGGGACUUAUGAGUGAUGGGAGCACAGCUGUUGUUUAGCUUCCCCCGUGACCCCAGCCAGCGGACACCAGGAAUUUCCGGGCUGUUCCCGGCGCCCCGUGCUGGAAGGCGGGCGCGCUCCAGCCGCAGGUGCAUUAAUCCAGCGUGACCCAAGGUCACGGAGAAAGUCCCAACACCACGGAGGUGGGAUGAGGCUCAGGGCAGGGCGCUGCUGAGAAGGCUCCGCCGGGGAGGAUCGGACGUGCCAUGCUUGGUGGAGUCUUUGGAUUUUUUAAGAGACGAUGGCAAUCAGACGUACUUGAAAAAUUAAGGGAAUUGGUCGGAACAUUGAUUUACCAAUCCUCACCAUUCAGUCAUUGGAUCCCAGAGGUUUUGCAUGAAUUCCUGUGGGGAGAAAUGGUACCUUGGAAAGCAAGGACGACGUGAUGCAGUAUUUUGAUAUGAGGAUAACAGGUUAAUAAACAAAACUCACUAUUAUUUUCUCUGCUACUUUUAUAUUUAACUUGACAUGUACUUUUUGCCUGCUAUGCACCCAUCUGCAAA